GUAAGGAUGGCCGAGUGGUCUAAGGCGCCAGACUCAAGAACCGAGGUUCUUCGCCGACAUGAGGUGUUGAGUAUUCUGGUCUCCGAAUGGAGGCGUGGGUUCGAAUCCCACUUCUGACA
rnacentral:tRNA from 1 species